rnacentral:tRNA from 1 species
GGGCUCCUAGCUCAGCUGGUUAGAGCGCUACAUUGACAUUGUAGAGGUCACAGGUUCAAAUCCUGUGGAGCCCACCA